rnacentral:tRNA from 1 species
GGAGGGGUGGCUGAGCGGUUGAAGGCACCUGACUCGAAAUCAGGCGUACUCGCAAGGGUACCGGGGGUUCAAAUCCCUCCCCCUCCGCCA